CACAUACUGUGAGCUCGAUGAGUAGGGCGGGACACGUGGUAUCCUGUCUGAAUAUGGGGGGACCAUCCUCCAAGGCUAAAUACUCCUGACUGACCGAUAGUGAACCAGUACCGUGAGGGAAAGGCGAAAAGAACCCCGGCGAGGGGAGUGAAAAAGAACCUGAAACCGUGUACGUACAAGCAGUGGGAGCACGCUUAGGCGUGUGACUGCGUACCUUUUGUAUAAUGGGUCAGCGACUUAUAUUCUGUAGCAAGGUUAACCGAAUAGGGGAGCCGAAGGGAAACCGAGUCUUAACUGGGCGUUAAGUUGCAGGGUAUAGACCCGAAACCCGGUGAUCUAGCCAUGGGCAGGUUGAAGGUUGGGUAACACUAACUGGAGGACCGAACCGACUAAUGUUGAAAAAUUAGCGGAUGACUUGUGGCUGGGGGUGAAAGGCCAAUCAAACCGGGAGAUAGCUGGUUCUCCCCGAAAGCUAUUUAGGUAGCGCCUCGUGAAUUCAUCUCCGGGGGUAGAGCACUGUUUCGGCAAGGGGGUCAUCCCGACUUACCAACCCGAUGCAAACUGCGAAUACCGGAGAAUGUUAUCACGGGAGACACACGGCGGGUGCUAACGUCCGUCGUGAAGAGGGAAACAACCCAGACCGCCAGCUAAGGUCCCAAAGUCAUGGUUAAGUGGGAAACGAUGUGGGAAGGCCCAGACAGCCAGGAUGUUGGCUUAGAAGCAGCCAUCAUUUAAAGAAAGCGUAAUAGCUCACUGGUCGAGUCGGCCUGCGCGGAAGAUGUAACGGGGCUAAACCAUGCACCGAAGCUGCGGCAGCGACGCUGAUGCGUUGUUGGGUAGGGGAGCGUUCUGUAAGCCUGUGAAGGUGUACUGUGAGGUAUGCUGGAGGUAUCAGAAGUGCGAAUGCUGACAUAAGUAACGAUAAAGCGGGUGAAAAGCCCGCUCGCCGGAAGACCAAGGGUUCCUGUCCAACGUUAAUCGGGGCAGGGUGAGUCGACCCCUAAGGCGAGGCCGAAAGGCGUAGUCGAUGGGAAACAGGUUAAUAUUCCUGUACUUGGUGUUACUGCGAAGGGGGGACGGAGAAGGCUAUGUUGGCCGGGCGACGGUUGUCCCGGUUUAAGCGUGUAGGCUGGUUUUCCAGGCAAAUCCGGAAAAUCAAGGCUG
rnacentral:rRNA from 1 species